AGCAACUUGUACUGGCAUCCUCAAUCUUUAACUUGCUGUCUACCAUGCUUCUGUCAAGAUCCAACUGUGAGGGUCUCACACACUGAAGCCAAAGAGAGAACACUAAUGGGUGAAAAUAAAAAUGUGGUGAAAGGUGAUCCUUCUAACUCAGCAACAAGAUUUGGAUGUGGGAGAAGAUACGUUUGAUGGGCGUUCAUACUGACACAUGAAAUUUGGUUAUAGACCUAGAAGAAACCUCAAGGAUCAUCUAGGGCAAUAAGAAAGAGCAUCCUGAAGAGCUGGAGAGAUUUUUCCAAGGCCAUACAACUGGUAGUAGACUUAGGACUGUCAUUCAUUCUUCCUGUCUCUUUCCAACCAGUUUACCAGUCUGUAAAAUGGAGAUAAUAGUAUUCAUUUUACCUGUAUCACAAGUUGUUGGGCGGAUUGAAUAAGAUAAGGUUGAAGUCAAUCCCUCUUUAGGCAAACUUCUAACUGAAGAAGAGGUUUUGAAUGCCAUUGGUCUUCUUUGUGUGGCAAAGCUCCUGGUGUUGAUUCUAUUCCAGCAGAGAUCGACAAGACAGAAGGUCCACUGCUUAUACAAACACUGAUGGAAAUCUGGGUUAUUUGGUGAGAGAAGAUUAUUUCCCAGGAGAUAAAGGAUGUCUCUAUUGUCCAUCUAUAUAAAGAAAAGCAUCUGAUUGCUCAAUGGUGAGGAAUUUUUCAGCUUUAGCAACACUGGAAGACUGUCUCUACCCAAAUUAUAGGAGGAUAUCUUUGCUGCUGUACAGAGCUUCUACACCAAUAAGACCUCAAAUGCAGGAAAAAUGGGACGUGACAGCCUCAACUCUGGAGGUGCUGCUAGGCCUGAGACCCAGCCAAGUUCUUGCUCUACCCCAGGGGAAGUUCUUUGUAAAUAGGUACUAUAUGAAUCAGCCAGGACUGGGUCUAGCUAAAACUGAGAAGUCAGUGAAAUUUUGUAUUUGAUGCCUUCCCAAGUAUACUAUGGACAUUUUCGUGCUGUGUACUGACUUCUCUCCUUGUUUCUUCAUGGACUGUGUGUCUCAUCAUGGCACUGUAGAGAAAGGAAAACAACAAUUGAGGGGAGAAAGAUUUAGAGAAUUCAGUGAUGGAAGAGGCUCUCCCUUUCUGACUUGAACUUCUGAUCAUGAUGAAAUAUCUCUUCAGGCAAGAGGCUGAACUGUAUUGUCCUUUUGUGAGAAGAUGUUGAAGAUCAACAAAGUUUAUCUUUCUCCAACUCUUUUUUACUUACAUGUUAUUAAUGAUCUAUAUAUGAUGUUUCCUUGUUAUGUUCUAAGCACUUCCUUGAUAUUGACUUCAUUCUUUCUACAUGUACAUUUAGAGUAGAUCAGGAAAUAUUGCAUUUCCCAGGGUGUGAUUUGGUUGGUUGCCUCCAUUGGGUUCAAAUGGGGAAGACUUUGGCUUUUUGCUUCCUCAGAGUUUAACUGACUGGGAAGUUUGCUUUCCAGCUUGGACAUUAGGUGCUUCCUGGGGGUAUGAUGAGCUAUUAUGUAUUUUAUGAAUAAUUCUAGAAACCUUCCCUGUGCAAAAUUUUAAGUUGAAUCCAAUUCUUCACCUCUAUUAUAAUGGGCUUAUUGUUUUAAUAAGAUGUGCUGGAUAAAAAUCUCUAAUCCUUCCUCUAGUGUGUAUGUGGGGGGUUGGGAUUGGAGGAGGUUUGAGAGAAUAGUGUGUCCCUUGGCAAAUCUCUGCCUUAUGUCUGAAAGGAUAUGGGGAGAAAUGAGAGGGAGAAAGAAGAGAGGGAGAAAGAGAGGAAGUCUGAUAUCGGAAGAGAAAAUUCUGCCUCUGACUCACACCAUGUGUAAAGACAAGUAUCUGAGAGAAUUCAACUCCUUCUCACAGAAAGGAGGGUAGAGGAAAAUGCUUCUUUGCCAGCCAACCUUGUUAGCCAUCACGACGCCUACACAUUAUACUGGAAUUGAGGUGUGACCUUAGUUUAUUACAGUCAUCACUGGCUAUGAGUAAGAGGUAGGGUUUCUUUUGGAGGAGGAAUGGUCCAGACCUGUAAUUUAAUGGGUAUAUAAAACUCCUUAGAAACUCCAGAUCCUACAUUUGUUGUCUAGUCAUUCAGUUGUAUCUGAUCCUUCACUCCAAGAACCAUUUCAUGCCAAUAAUGUCCAUGGAAUUUUCUUGGCAAAGAUAAUGGAAUGAUUUGUCAUUUCCUUCUCCAGUGGAUUAAGGCAAAC